rnacentral:rRNA from 1 species
GUUUACAGCCGUACUGCAUUGGAUGCACCUGCUCUCAUCUGAUCUUGGAUGCCAAGCAGAGCUGGGUCUGCUUAGCGGUUUCUUGGGAGACUUGCUUGGGGGACUUGCUUGGGGGACU